AUAGAUGUUGUGGAGGAUGGAGACGAUAGAGCAAUUUGUAGUGUCUGAUGAUAAACUAUAAUUUCAUAUUUAUGAAAAAAAAAACAAAAAAAAAACUUUUACAAAUGGUUUCAAUUGUAGACUUUGUAGUAGAGAAUUUUAUAUGUAAUAGAGAGAUUUAUAGCCAACGACUUCUUAUUUUGGUUCAACGACUCGAGUGGGGAAAUGCUUUUGAUGUGUUUACCAAAGAUUGCGCAUCAAUCAAUGGUUACAAAAGUCAACAAAGUCAAAGCUAUAUAGAUUACGACCAUUCUCAGCCGUCCGAUAAAUAAAGGGUAUUCUGUCUUUUUGAAUGACAACUAGCAUUUCUGGUGACCACGAGACCGGGAAUGUUCGUCACGGGACGUUUUCAUUGUCGUUCGUUCCCACCAACAU